UACGAAGGGGGCUAGCGUUGCUCGGAAUCACUGGGCGUAAAGCGCACGUAGGCGGAUCUUUAAAGUCAGGGGUGAAAUCCUGGAGCUCAACUCCAGAACUGCCUUUGAUACUGAAGAUCUUGAGUUCGGGAGAGGUGAGUGGAACUGCGAGUGUAGAGGUGAAAUUCGUAGAUAUUCGCAAAGAACACCAGUGGCGAAGGCGGCUCACUGGCCCGAUACUGACGCUGAGGCACGGAAAGCGAUGGGAG
rnacentral:rRNA from 1 species